rnacentral:sRNA from 1 species
UUUAAAAAAAAUUGUUACUUUCACAAAAUACAUGUUACCCGUUUAUCCACGAGUAUGCAGCAGAAAACGUGACAACAAUAAAUUCUUUUAACCAAGCCACAAAACAGAACGCUGAAAAAUGUAAGACAAUACAUUUUAUGAGCAACAAAGUAGUUUUCCUGUUAUAGCAGAAAAUAACGCUAUUGAUUCGAUGUCGGCCAAGAAAAUUAAAUGUGCUUGGCUCCACAAUUUCUAAUAAAACUUAGACAGAAAGAAAUUGUUUAAUCCAAACGUAAUAAAACACCAGGUAUAUAAAUUUUACUACAGCAACAUCAGCCAACAAGUUUAACAUCAGUCUGCUAAUGAGUUUAACAUCAAUCGUGCAGUGUCCCGAGAAUAUCGUCGUCUCUAUAAAGAUGAUACUCUUUGUUGUCAAGCUUCACCUCAGUUCCCCCAUACUCAGGCAAAAGAACAGUGUCACCUUCAUUUACAGCCACUGGAAUUAGCUUCCCAUCCUUACUAUGAAUGCCAGGGCCAACAGCAAUAACUUUCCCGGAAUUCAGCU